GAGAGCGCUCGCUGUAUUGCUACUCUUCCCAACCGAGAGGAAACCCUAGAUUUCUACCCGAAUCAAUCUACACAUGCCCAACCGAUAAUCAAUUCGGCUACCGGGUCUCAGAUUUGUCAUUGUAUACUUUGAGAUGCAGUUUUUCAGCUUCAGGUUUCUAUGUGAAGAUGCAUAGAUCGGAUUUAGUGUCAUAGUUUUUCAUUCUUGUAAUUCUCAUUUACAUAAUAAUGAUGAAUGAGCUAUAGACUUUUAAUUUAAUUUAAUUUAAUUUAAUUUAAUUUAAUUUAAUUUAUUGUGGUUAUUUUUGUAACCCUGUAAUUGAUGUACCAUAGAGUGGAUUAGGGUUUGUUUGAGCGGUGAGAAUAAUUGAUGGAGAUGGAGGAUUCUCGUAGACCAUUUGACAGAUCGAGAAUCGAGCCGGGGCUGAAGAAACCGAGAUUAGCUGAAGAUCCUGCUACGAAUCGUACGCUGAAUGGACGGAGUUUUGUUCAGCAACGGCCGAUGGCUUCAGGCUCAGCAGGCUCAAGAUUUCGAGCUAGCGAGAGGGGAGGAGGAGACUCAGAGAGUAGUGACUCAGUUCGUGGAUCUUAUCCACAACAACAGCAGCAACAGAACCAUCAGGAGCUGGUCAGUCAGUAUAAGACGGCUUUGGCCGAGCUGACCUUCAAUUCGAAGCCGAUAAUCACCAACUUGACUAUCAUUGCCGGCGAGAGUAUUCCAGCUGCCAAGGCUAUUGCAGCCACGAUCUGUGCCAACAUUCUUGAGGUUCCCAGUGAUCAAAAGUUGCCAUCUCUCUAUCUUUUGGACAGUAUUGUGAAGAAUAUUGGGAGGGAUUAUAUUAAGUAUUUUGCUACCAGGCUACCAGAGGUUUUUUGCAAGGUGUACAGACAGGUUGAUCCAUCAAUACAUUCUGGCAUGCGGCAUCUUUUUGGAACUUGGAAAGGGGUGUUCCCUCCACAAACACUUCAAUUAAUUGAGAAGGAGCUUGGAUUUACAACUGGGGUCAAUGGUUCAUCAUCAGGAACAACUUCUAGAAAUGAAUCACAGACUCCACGUCCUGCACGUAGUAUUCAUGUCAAUCCCAAGUAUUUGGAGGCUAGGCAGAACCUGCAGCAGCCAGCUAAGGCAAAGGGAAAUGCUGGUGGCAUUAGUGCAACACUUGUAAGCUCAUCUGAGGAUGUAGAGAGACUGGAGAGAACAGCCAGUGUUAGUUCUGGUCCUCCGGGUAGAUCAUGGGUGGAUCCUUCUAUCAAGAAUAUUCACCGUGUUCAGAAAGGUCGAUUGAAUGAACCGGUCGCCGUGAAAACCAUAAGUGUUGAGAAAACUGUAAAUGUGGUAUAUGCAGAUUCUGAAUAUGGUUCUGAGAUAUCAAGGCGCCCAGGAAUGCAUGGAGGAAUAACUAGUGAAAAGUAUAAGAAACAAGGACUUGACAAACAAUGGUAUGAUUCUGAGAGCAUUGCCACAGGUACAAUCUCCAGCAAAAGGAAUGGUUAUGAUCUUAAGCAUGGACUUCAAAAUUACCCCUCCCACAAAUCUUCGAGUUCUGAAGCAUAUCUACAUGCAACACAAGAUUCUAUCAAUAGAAAUAGCACUGAGUUGAAUAGGAGCUGGAAGCAUUCUGAGGAAGAAGAAUAUGCAUGGGAUGAUAUCCAUUCGAGAUUGCCCAAUCAUGCUAUAGCCAAAAUCUCGGUGAAGGAUCAUUGUACUCCGGAUGGUUCUGAAAGAAUGGAUAUUGAGACUCAGCUGCGGAGAUUGCAAAGUGAAAGGGAUGUUGGGUCAAGCUUCAAUCCUGAUGCUUCCACUGCUUCUAUUUCAAUAGUGAACAAAGGCCAAGCAGCAUUUGGACGUGAGGGAUCAUCACUGUGGGCAAGAGAGCUGCAUUCAUUAGAUGGAGUUGCUGCUCCAGUGUCUGCUAGAGAUUUUUCAAGUCACUCUGAAGACUAUUCUAAUUCUUUCAGUGGGUUGUCAAAUGCUGGGAAUUCAAUUGCUAAGACAUCUUGUAAGCCACAAACAGGAUCAGUUUCUAUUGGAACAGCAAGAUUUGGACUAUCAUCAAAUGCAGCUGUAGAAAAGGAGUCUCGCAGUGCUGCGUCUCCCUCUGCACAGUCACCGAUGCACCAGCUUCCACCAUCACCAUCUAAUCAAGUAGCUUUCAAUAUAGCAGAGCGAGACCAAGCCCAGGCUAUACUCCGUCCAGAUCCAAGAACUUCUCAAUUUCCUAGGAGGUCGAAUUUAGACCCCCGUCAAAGGUUUUAUCAGGAUUCUCAGCCAACACUCUCUAAUAAUGCCCAUUUGGGUAGUUCAAUGAGAACAAAUCCCCCAAGCUUAUCAGAUUCUACUCAAGGAAGGGAUCACAAUCCCUUUGCUAAGCAGCUAGAACCAAAACCUGAGGUGGCUGAAUAUUUGGAUCAAGCUAAGGAAUUACCAAUUUCUCAAAUACCAGGUGUUACUGAGCCAUCACUGCCUGUCAGUUCAUCGUCUAGCCCUUCUAUUAUUCCAGGUGCAGAAUCCCCCUUGCAAGCAACUACUAGCAGUUUGUUAGCUGCUGUCAUGAACAGUGGCAUAUUGGGCACUAAUUCUGUAAUUGACAGCUUGCCUAGAUUGAAUUCUCAGGAUGCAGGGUCUUUGUCAUCUCAAUCAGUUAAACUAACUAUAGCUUCUACUAAGAGCAAACCAGCCACUGUCAUAAGUGAGCCUUCAGAGGGGAAUGCAUCAGUUCUCACUACAUAUUCCCAGGGAAACCUGGAAAAGCCACCACUGCCACCUGGCCGACAUCCUUCUUUUUUGGCUAGUUCAUCCAUGUCUUCUUCAAAUGUGGUGAGUGCUGGCUCUAAUCCAGUGUCAAGCCUUCUGAGUACAUUGGUUGAAAAGGGAUUGAUAACUGCAUCGAAAGAAGAGUCCUCAACUUCUUUUGAGUCACAUGUACCUCCUCAAACUUUGAACCAGAGUCCUUCAAGUGUAAAUACUAGUUCAGGAACAGCUUUGCCAUUUGCAGUCUCCUCAGAAAACCCUUCAUUGUCUAUGGAGUACAGCCAAGCUCUUGCAAAACCUGCUGCUAAAGCUUCUGAUGGUUUGCAGCAGUCUGUUGCAAGAGGUAUUAAAAAUCUAAUUGGUUUUGUGUUUAAGCCAGAUGUAAUUAGACAGCCACAUCCAGUUGUGAUCAGUGAACUUAUAGAUGAUCUACCACAUGAGUGUGGUAUAUGUGGUUUUAAACUUAAGCUCAAGGAGCAACUUGAUAGACAUAUAGAAUGGCAUGCAUCCAAAGUUCCAGAUAUGAAAAUGUUGAAUAAGUCUUCCAGGAAGUGGUAUGCAAAUUCAAAUGAAUGGAAUGUUGGAAAUGCUAGCUUUGAGGACGGGCCUGUCGAAAAAAUGGAAUGUACUGUGCAGAUGGUUCCAGCUGAUGAAAAUCAGUGUUUAUGUGUCUUGUGUGGCCAGCUUUUUGAGGAUGUUUUCAGUGAUGAAAUGGAUCAGUGGAUGUUCAAAGGUGCUGUUUAUGUCAGUACUCAGUCUUUGGGCGACAAGAGUGGAAGAACUAACAUGAGUCCUGCUCAGGGUCCCCUAGUCCACAAAAACUGCAUUACAGAAAGUUCUGUUUAUGAUCUGGGUCUGGUUGAGGAUAUUAAACAGCAUGCCACACAAAGGAGUGCAUGAAGCUGUGUCUGGGGUUCAUUAUAUUAUCUGCAUCUGUUGAUAGGUUUAAUGGGGAUGAGAGAUAUCAGUUCAAAUUUGAAGCAUGUUGUUGAAUUCUGGAAACUGGGCACUGCAAAUUUGAGGGACUCCUCCCCAGUUUACAUUAUGUCUUCUGUCAUGGGAUGGAAGAUCUGGUUCUUAGGCGAUCAUCGGCUUUUAUUCUGUAUCAAAUUGAGAAGAGGGAAGUAUUAGGCAGUGCAAAGCUUAUAUAGCAUCUAUAGUUUCUCUUUCCCCUGUUAUUUUAUUCAACCCAAAGUGGAAUUUUGGCUGCAUUUCAACUAUAGCUGCAAGCCCCCUCUCUGCAGACCCCAUCCCAUGUACCCAAAAAAGAGAGUAAGUUAAAGAGUUUUGGUAAUUAUUGGUUAAACAAUAUGAUGAGUAUCAUUAGUUUGUUUGCUGGUAAGACAAGUUUUAUUAGCUCUAUGACGUAUUUCUUAGUGAUGCUACAGUUUAUUUUCA